UGCAGUCGAGCGGAUGAAGGGAGCUUGCUCCUGGAUUCGGCGGCGGACGGGUGAGUAAUGCCUAGGAAUCUGCCUGGUAGUGGGGGAUAACGUCCGGAAACGGGCGCUAAUACCGCAUACGUCCUGAGGGAGAAAGUGGGGGAUCUUCGGACCUCACGCUAUCAGAUGAGCCUAGGUCGGAUUAACUAGUUGGUGGGGUAAAGGCCUACCAAGGCGACGAUCCGUAACUGGUCUGAGAGGAUGAUCAGUCACACUGGAACUGAGACACGGUCCAGACUCCUACGGGAGGCAGCAGUGGGGAAUAUUGGACAAUGGGCGAAAGCCUGAUCCAGCCAUGCCGCGUGUGUGAAGAAGGUCUUCGGAUUGUAAAGCACUUUAAGUUGGGAGGAAGGGCAGUAAGUUAAUACCUUGCUGUUUUGACGUUACCAACAGAAUAAGCACCGGCUAACUUCGUGCCAGCAGCCGCGGUAAUACGAAGGGUGCAAGCGUUAAUCGGAAUUACUGGGCGUAAAGCGCGCGUAGGUGGUUCAGCAAGUUGGAUGUGAAAUCCCCGGGCUCAACCUGGGAACUGCAUCCAAAACUACUGAGCUAGAGUACGGUAGAGGGUGGUGGAAUUUCCUGUGUAGCGGUGAUAUGCGUAGAUAUAGGAAGGAACACCAGUGGCGAAGGCGACCACCUGGACUGAUACUGACACUGAGGUGCGAAAGCGUGGGGGAGCAAACAGGAUUAGAUACCCUGGUAGUCCACGCCGUAGACGAUG
rnacentral:rRNA from 1 species